GUCUCAACUAGCUUCUUAAUGUGGAUCCCAACAGCCAGCCUCAGCAAUAUAUAUAGUAGUCGAACUCUUAAGGCGAAAUUGAGAUUUGUUGGUAUGCGGUAAAUGAUUUUGAAAGUGAACAGCAUCUUUACUUUGAACAAAUUUGAGUGCUCAAGGCAGGCCUUUGUACCUAGAAAUUCUUGCAUGGAAUAGGACUUCGGUUCUAUUUUGUUGGUUUUUGACAGGGGGGGGCAUUUCUAUGGCGGUGUUAGAGGUGAAAUUCUCGGAUCAUCGCCAAACAAACUACAGCAAAAACAUUUGCCAAGAAUGUUUUCAUUGAUCA
rnacentral:ncRNA from 1 species